AUGCCCGAUGAUUAUAGCAAGACGCGUUAUUACGAGGACCGGUGCUGGAACUCCUUUCCUACUUCCUUUCAACUCUUCACUUUUUCUCUCAAGUCCUUGUUUUCUCCUCUUCCCCCCUUCUUUUCUCCUCCUCCCUCUAAAUUCUUGGAGUUUCCAGUGUCCUAUGAGCAAGAUUAUGAGAUAUGAGGGCAA